rnacentral:rRNA from 1 species
UACGGAGGAUGCGAGCGUUAUCCGGAUUUAUUGGGUUUAAAGGGUGCGUAGGCGGACUGUUAAGUCAGCGGUAAAAGCCCGGGGCUCAACCCCGGCGAGCCGUUGAAACUGGCUGUCUUGAGAUGUCGAGAGGUAUGCGGAAUGCGCAGUGUAGCGGUGAAAUGCUUAGAUAUUGCGCAGAACUCCGAUUGCGAAGGCAGCCUGCCGCAGCGUUACUGACGCUGAAGCUCGAAAGCGCGGGUAUCGAACAGG